rnacentral:rRNA from 1 species
GAUGAACGCUGGCGGCGUGCCUAAUACAUGCAAGUCGAGCGAACUGAUGAGAAGCUUGCUUCUCUGAUGUUAGCGGCGGACGGGUGAGUAACACGUGGAUAACCUACCUAUAAGACUGGGAUAACUUCGGGAAACCGGAGCUAAUACCGGAUAAUAUUUUGAACCGCAUGGUUCAAAAGUGAAAGACGGUCUUGCUGUCACUUAUAGAUGGAUCCGCGCUGCAUUAGCUAGUUGGUAAGGUAACGGCUUACCAAGGCAACGAUGCAUAGCCGACCUGAGAGGGUGAUCGGCCACACUGGAACUGAGACACGGUCCAGACUCCUACGGGAGGCAGCAGUAGGGAAUCUUCCGCAAUGGGCGAAAGCCUGACGGAGCAACGCCGCGUGAGUGAUGAAGGUCUUCGGAUCGUAAAACUCUGUUAUUAGGGAAGAACAUAUGUGUAAGUAACUGUGCACAUCUUGACGGUACCUAAUCAGAAAGCCACGGCUAACUACGU